AUGGACCACCAUCAAGCUACUCACCAUGGUCGAUGUGUCCGACCUGCUGAUCUUUUGCUUGCUUGCCAGGUGUGCGUGCAAACGAGCACCUCCGCAGGCCUGGACCGGAUCCUGACGUGGCUCUUCUACCACAAGGUCAUCGGCGUCGCACACUUUUUGCUCUUCGUCAAGGGCAAGGCCGCCAAGCCCAGCAUCGCGGGGGUCCUCGAGUCCAUCCCCAUGCGUUCCUCGCUUGAGAUUUUGAAGAAUCCAGUAGUACCAAUUUCACUCUGCUUGUUCUCAAUGUCUGACUCUGUUUCUCUUCUUCUUCUUUAG
rnacentral:rRNA from 1 species